AACGAACGCUGGCGGCAUGCCUAACACAUGCAAGUCGAACGAGACCUUCGGGUCUAGUGGCGCACGGGUGCGUAACGCGUGGGAACCUGCCCUUAGGUUCGGAAUAACUCCCCGAAAGGGGUGCUAAUACCGGAUAAUGUCUUCGGACCAAAGAUUUAUCGCCUUUGGAUGGGCCCGCGUUGGAUUAGCUAGUUGGUAGGGUAAAAGCCUACCAAGGCGACGAUCCAUAGCUGGUCUGAGAGGGUGAUCAGCCACACUGGGACUGAGACACGGCCCAGACUCCUACGGGAGGCAGCAGUGGGGAAUAUUGGACAAUGGGCGAAAGACUGAUCCAGCAAUGCCGCGUGAGUGAUGAAGGCCUUAGGGUUGUAAAGCUCUUUUACCCGGGAUGAUAAUGACAGUACCGGGAGAAUAAGCGCCGGCUAACUCCGUG
rnacentral:rRNA from 1 species